AAGUCUUCAUGAAGUCCGGUCACAUGAAUGAGAGCCCUUUCUUACGUUUUCCACUGAGGCAUUCUCUCCUACCCCUUCUCACAGUGACCAUAUAAGUGCAGAACCAGUGAUAGCUCCUGGAUCAUCAUUUCCAGUUGUGCUAUGAACUUACUCAAGCCCAAGUAAAGACACCGUCCCAGGUGGCCAGCUGGGUAACAUCAGCUUGAAGUGAAAUGACCAAGAACAAUAUUCUCUUUAGCUUCCUUAAUAUGUGUCAAGAUUUUCCCUAGAAUUCACAUUCCUGGGCUUCUGAACAAAGCACUGAAUUACCAGACUCAACUCCCCGGUGAGAACUGCAAAACCAAGCAACCUUUGAUAUAUUUUCCUUCCAAUAUUUAGAACAAAAUGAAAGAAAACAAAACCCUGAGAUGGGCAUUUCAGAAUGUGGGCUCCUAAAACCAGCACUUGAAAUACUUCCAGGAAUGCCAGCCAGAACAGAAAGACCACUGGCAGCAAUCUCCAAAGCACACUCAAAAGAUCCACAGGUGGCCAGAUGGUGCCAUGACACAGCCAAGGCUUCCCCAAGGGCCCCAGGAUGGAAGAAAAUACCAGGGCUCUGUCAGAGACAAGCCUGCAUCUGCCAGUGUAAAGAACCUUUCCUAGCCAAGUUAUGACAAUAGUCAUGGGAAUACGUUCCUGUCUUCCACUGCCUUUCCUCAGAUGUGCACCUAAUGUCCAAGAGGAGAUUUAUUGCAAAUGCCUUCACAGUCAUCAGGAUAGAGAAGGAGUACUCAGGGUCUGGGCUUUGCUUUUCUCUUAAGAGGAAACUCUGUUAGAAAUAAAAAGGUCUACAGGA